GCCUCGUGUAUCUCGCUGCCUGUUCUUAGGCGUACGUCUUAUCCCAUGCAACAGCAAAAAGUAUAAAAAACUUCUAAUGCUGGUGGUUACCUUGUUGCAGCGGAAUGCAGCCAAAUGGUGAAAGGUGUGACCAAGACGGAUUGAACCAUUGAAGUACCAUGCAGUUGCAGUGUAAUCCAGAAGUUGCUGUGCUGUUGUAGCUGAGCUGUUCCAUCU